rnacentral:misc_RNA from 1 species
GUAUUAAAUUUUUGGUUGAAAUAUUAAAAUUUCGUAAAAUAAGAUAUAAAAUUUUUGAAGAGUGAUGAAAAUUAAAAAAUACUUUCGGCAACAUGAAUUUCGAACACCAGUUACUUUAAAAAGCAUUCUCAUUCAACGCUGCCGAAGUAUAACUUUUCAGUGAAUUCACACAAGGGUGGAUAUGGAUUUUUUAAAUCAUCCAUAUGGAUAAAAUAAAAUGUUUAAUGAUCCUUCCGCAGGUUCACCUACGGAAA